GUUUGAUUAGCUCAGUGGUAGAGCGUCCGAGAGUGGAUGGACGUAGGUUCGAAUCCUGCAUCAAACACCA
rnacentral:tRNA from 2 species